rnacentral:rRNA from 1 species
UACGUAGGGGGCAAGCGUUGUCCGGAAUCAUUGGGCGUAAAGCGCGCGUAGGCGGCCCGGUAAGUCCGUUGUGAAAGUCAAAGGCUCAACCUUUGAACGCCGAUGGAUACUGCCGGGCUAGAGUCCGGAAGAGGCGAGUGGAAUUCCCGGUGUAGCGGUGAAAUGUGUAGAGAUCGGGAGGAACACCGGUGGCGAAGGCGGGUCUCUGGGCAAUUCCUGACGCUGAGGCGCGAAAGCGUGGGGAGCAAACGGG